rnacentral:rRNA from 1 species
AGAGUUUGAUCAUGGCUCAGGACGAACGCUGGCGGCGUGCCUAAAACAUGCAAGUCGAACGGUGGUAGCAAUACCAUAGUGGCGAACGGCGGAGUAAUACGUGAACAACGUGCCCUAAAAACUGGGAUAGUCACUGGAAACGGUGGGUAAUACCGGAUGUGGCGAGGGAAUCACCUGAUUUUCUCGUUAAAUGGUUUUUCGCUUUAGGAGCGGUUCACGGCCUAUCAGGUAGUUGGUGGGGUAAUGGCCUACCAAGCCGACGACGGGUAGCGGGUCUGAGAGGAUGGUCCGCUCGAGUGGGACUGAGACACGGCCCACACACCUACGGGUGGCAGCAGUUGGGAAUCUUGCACAAUGGGGGCAACCCUGAUGCAGCGACGCCGCGUGGAGGACGAAGGGUCUAGGCCUGUAAACUCCUUUUCUCGGGAAAGACUUAGGACGGUACCCGAGGAAUAAGCCCCGGCUAACUACGUGCCAGCAGCCGCGGUAAGACGUAGGGGGCAAGCGUUGUCCGGAUUUACUGGGCGUAAAGCGCGCGUAGGCGGUCCGUUGAGUGCACAAGUGAAAGCUCUUGGCUCAACCAAGAAANUGCUUUGCAUACUGGCGGGCUGGAGGGACGCAGAGGUCUGUGGAAUUCCUGGUGUAACGGUGAAACGUGUUGAUAUCNGNNGGAACACCCAUGGCGAAGGNAGCANANUGGGCGUUUCCUGANGCUGAGGCGCGAAAGCNNGNUANNAAACAGGAUUANAUACCCUGNAGUCCANGCCCUAAACNAUGGANNCUAGGCGUCGGGGGUAUCGACCCCCCGGUGCCNCAGCAAA